rnacentral:lncRNA from 1 species
UUCAUUCUACUCUCCACUCACAAACUCUCACUUCUUGUUUUUUAUUUCUCCAUUUUUACUGUAUGUUCUCAAAGUCCCGGCUGACUUAAGCAUUGGAGGGUCCUAAACCAAAGGGCAUCCCAUAAUUUUGGGACUUUUUUUGUAAAUUUUGCUCAUGGUUCACGUCGACGCAACUCUUAGCUCUCCAGCUCAAUUUACUGCCGACCUCACCUUUGAAGCCCUGCAGCAACAGAUUGGUCCUAGAGAAAGAGGAUCUAAAAAUUAUUAGUAAAAAAUAAUGAACAAGAAAAUACCAAUUUAUCCUUUAUCGACCUCAUCUUCUCUUGAAAAUGCUUAGGAGAUCAUCCAACUACCAGUCAGUGUUGAUCCUUAGCAAUUCAACCUUCUAGUUUAACAAGUUCAAGCCCUCACUGCUGACGUACAAUAGCUCCAACAUACCACAGAGCAGCAACAAUCAAUAUAAUGUCAAACUUUGGUGGAGAUUGAGGGGCAGAUGAUAGUUUUUUUUCGAAAAGACAGCGCACUGACAAUGAGCUUUCAAUAAAAUUUUCUUCAAUAUCUUAAUUCUUAUCUAUAGGAGAUCAAAUCUCUACAAUUAAGUUGAAACAUCUUUUAUCCGAAUGAGAUCAUGAAGUCUAAUCAAAUAAGAAUAAGAAAGUCUAUCCAAACGAGAUAUUUGUUUGAGGAAACUCAAGUUUCGACUUGAGAUUUUAAGACAAUAUACUCUUAAAAGGGAAGAAAAUGAAAUAUCUCAAUAUGAAACUUACCUGAUAUAUAAGAGACCCAAUCUGCCCAUGACGACAUCGCAUAGAAGUAUUUCUUAAAUCUCUAUUAUAUUCAAUUUAUUAAGAUUAGUUUGUUCUCAAUUAAUCGAUCUAAUUCUUAAAAUCAUAUUAUUUUUAAUAUUUAAAGUUACUUAUUAUAAUUAAGCUAUAUAGGCUUCAUAAUUGAUUCAAUCCAGAUCAGAUAAUAUUCAUGUUAUAAGGAGACA